ACAGGCAACAUGAAGUGAGUACCAGAGAAGGGUCCUAUGUUAACAUUUCUACCUUUAGAGCCCAGAGACGGGUCGACUGACCUGAAGGAUUUUAGCUAUAUUUGGUUAUUUUAGCUAUAACCAGUUUUGCAUGAUUUUCCACUCCUCCUUUCUGGCCUGACGGUCAAUGGCCACUUUUACAAUUGAAAAAGGGAUGCUAAUUUGAGCCAUCAGAAUCGUCAGUUUGGACUCAGGUCUUUUGACCCUCUUUCGGGACUUCAGGGGAGAGGUCGAAACCCUGGUACUCCCAGU